AUUGAACGCUGGCGGAAUGCUUUACACAUGCAAGUCGAGCGGCAGCACGGGGGCAACCCUGGUGGCGAGCGGCGAACGGGUGAGUAAUACAUCGGAACAUGCCCAGUCGUGGGGGAUAACACUUCGAAAGAAGUGCUAAUACCGCAUACGUCCUGAGGGAGAAAGCGGGGGGAUCGCAAGACCUCGCGCGAUUGGAGUGGCCGAUGUCAGAUUAGCUAGUUGGUGGGGUAAAGGCCUACCAAGGCAACGAUCUGUAGCUGGUCUGAGAGGAUGAUCAGCCACACUGGGACUGAGACACGGCCCAGACUCCUACGGGAGGCAGCAGUGGGGAAUUUUGGACAAUGGGGGCAACCCUGAUCCAGCCAUUCCGCGUGAGUGAAGAAGGCCU
rnacentral:rRNA from 1 species